UGUUCCCAUCCCGAACACAGUAGUUAAGCUCUUCAGCGCCGAUGGUAGUUGGGACUUUGUCCCUGCAAGAGUAGGACGCCGCCAGGC
rnacentral:rRNA from 1 species